rnacentral:lncRNA from 1 species
UUAUGAAGAAAAUUUAUAGAGUCUCUCCUCGGAUUGAGCAUUAUGGUUGCAUAGUGGAUCUUUAUAGCCGUGCAGGGAGAUUGGAGGAUGCAUUAAAUGUCGUAGAAAAUAUGCCGAUGAAGCCAAAUGAAGUUGUGUUGGGUUCAUUGCUGGCAGCAUGUAGGACUAAGGGUGAUAUCAUCUUAGCAGAAAGAUUAAUGAAGUAUCUAGUAGACUUGGAUCCUGGCGUUGAUUCCAAUUAUGUGCUUCUUGCGAAUAUGUAUGCGGCUGUUGGAAAAUGGGAUGGUGCGGGUAAGAUUAGGAGAACAAUGAAGGGUCGUGGUAUACAGAAGAAGCCAGGACUUAGUUCAAUUGAGAUUGGGAGUGGCAUUCAUGAAUUUAUGGCUGGCGAUAGGUCGCAUAUAGAGUCAGAGCACAUCUAUUCAAUGUUAGAGCUUCUUUCUUUUGAUUUGAAAUUAUGUGGUUAUGUUCCAGAAACAGUUGCCGGAGAAUUAUAUGAAAAUGAUUGAGUUUUGGUUGUCAAGUAUAAAAAACUGAGUUUCAAGUAUAGUAAUAGAAUCUGAUUUUCUUAAGAUGUUUAUUCUUGCAAUUAGGAUAUGGAAAAUAGGGUGACUGAUUCUUUACCAUAAAAACCCUUGCAUUUACUUUAAAACCUUUUGGUAGGUGAGUUUUUAACUAAUCAAUUGUCGGGGAUCGUUUCAUUAGUAAUUUAAGAUCCAUGGAUUCCUAAAUGUUAUGUAUCUUGGAUUUCAAGGGAAACUUCAUCCCUUGUGAUGCAACUUACUCUAUGCCACAACAUAAGAGUCACUAUAAAUUUCUAUUUUAACAAAGCUCAAGUGAAAUGCUCCAAGUUGCAGAGUUGAUAAGUACUUUUAACUCAAGGGAGCCUCUAUGUUACAAUUAAUGUAACAUACACACUCAACAACAACCACACAAAUGAUGGGCCCACACAAUUUGUGUGGUUGUUGUUGAGUGUGUAUGUUACAUUAAUUGUAACAUAGCAUUUGCCUUAACUCAAUCUGCUAGUGUCAGCUGACAUGGCGUGACAGCUUGGUCCUCCUUAUUCCAGCUGAGCAGCAGCGUUAGCAUUUGUCUGUUCUUGAUAAUUGAUAUAUAUAUAAAAAAAAAAAAAAAUCUAGGGAUUAUCCCACGCUUUUGAAUUCAUGAAGGUGAAUAAUUUAUAGGCUAGAAUAGAAAAGUAACCUAUUUAUGAUAAAAACCACAAUUCGAACAAUUAAGGUAAGUGUGAAAUUGAACAAGAAGUCGACUGAUAAUAGAGAGGUGUAUAUAAAUAUGUACUCAAUUACAUUACCAAGUUUAAAAGUUUUAAUUGAAUGAUUUAAAUUACAAGCUGAAUUUGACAGCCCUUUAAUUUGAAAUAUUGAAUCUGAUUUUCCAAAGAAUUUAGUUUUUAAGUUCAAUUAUUUUAAAUAUUUGCGCAAAUUUAGAAUAUAACUAAAAGAAAAUUUUAUAUCAAGUUCAGAAAUAAAAUAAAUCUAUAAAAUUCCAUACGACGGCUGAGGAGUAUUUAUUAACUUAGAAUAGAAAAUAACCAUUUUUCACAUUUAACAAUUACAAUUGGAACAAAGUAGAUUAUUAGAAAUUUAACACAAAAAUUUAUAAUUUCAUAUUCAAUUUUGUAAUAAAGCCUUGCUCUGGUGCAAUUUAAUUAAUUACAACAAACGGCUACGCUUAGACAUGACUUGUUCGUGAAUAAAAACUUUCCUGAUGUUUCUGGUGUGAUCCAGUUCACGAAAUUAAUGUUUAUGUGUAUUUUUAAAACUUCGCGAUCAUUUAUUAUGGUAUAAAAAAAUAAGGAGAGGUUGCUAUAAAUUUGAGUGGUAGAUAUUAUUUCAAAUCUUUUUAAGUUUCAUGGGAUAUUGGAGUUUACUAAAAUAUAUUAAAAAUUAAUGGAAUAUUGGCGGUUAUUUCAAAAUAUUGAAGGAAGAUAUACUCUAAACUCUGAAUGUGAUAUAGAGGCGUUUUGUUUCGUUUCACCUUGGCAAUUUUGUAUUUUUUCUUGGACUGAUUUGUCGUUGGUCAUAAGAAAUAGCCUUUGAUUAGCAAACGUUAUAUGGUUAAAUUAGCAAAUAUUAUGGCUGUAUAUUUUAUCAUUAUUCUGUCUAAAAUAAUGUAUCUAACAGCGAUUGUUGACUGUUCAAUAAUUUAACUUUUUAGAAACUUAUAUUUGUUAAGGUGAGAAUUGUUUAAGAGUUAUUGAUUCAAAAUUAAAAAAUCUCUAUAGUCCAUAUCUGUAAAAUAAUUAUGAGAAAUUAUUCUUGCUAAAAUAUUGUUUAGCUUUGUGUCCUGUUAUAUUUUCCUUAAUAGAUUUACCGAACUAGCUCAAAGGACAUAUUUAAAUGCGAUAUGUUGUUUUAUUUUAUCUUUUCUGUUUAUAAUAUAUUUGUUCAAACUUUGAUCACAUCCCGUGAGAUAGACAGCAAGUGGAAAAAACCUGAGAGGCUUGAUACCCGUUUAAACGGAGGAUUUGGAGGCCCAACAUUCAGCUUUUUUUUUGUUUUUUUUUUUUUUAAUUUUGUUGAAUUUUUAAAUAUAAUAUAAUGUAGAGUGUAAAACGAACAAUAAUGAUAUCAAAUAAUUUAUAAAAAAAAAAUCUAUAGAUUAUUCCACACUUUUGAAUACAUGAAGAAAUAAUAUUUUAUAAGCUAGAAUAGAAAAUUAACCCAUUUAUGAUAAAAACGACAACUGGAACAAUUAAAAUAACUAAGAAACUGAAAAAGAAGUCUUCUUUUACAACUAAGAAACUGAAUAUUAGUGAAUAAAAUAAGUGAGGUUAUUAUUGAAAUGGAUAAUAUCAAUUAAAAAUAGUUGCUGGACAGAUGUAAUAAAUAUAACUAUAGUUGGUUGACACCGGUAUUGGUUGACACCACCUAUUAGAUUCACUAUAAAAGGCUAAGGAUGAAGGGACACGAAAGCGGGGUAAGAAAAGGAAAAAGGCAAAAGGGGAAUAUGGAAGCUGAGCAAGAAAGAAGAAAGCAGAGCAAGUGGGAGGUCAAGCAAGAAGCCAUAAAGAAGUCAAAAAGCCAAGAAGCCGAAAAAGAAGUCCAGUAUCCAAGAGACAUUAAGAAACCGAAGAUCAUAAGCUGAAACAGAGAGUAUUAGCAGCAGCAAACACAAAGAACAGCAGCUUAUUUGUUUGUAACAACACUGAACAAGAAGUCUAACUGAUAAAAGAUGAGUACUAAAUCUGUACUCAAAUCAUAUUAGCCAGUUUUUUCUUCUUUUUUUUUGAAUAAUGGAGAAAAUAUAUUAAACCGAACCAGAGAUUGUUACAACAAGUAUACAAUUUCAUCGGGGGAUCUCCCAACUAAACUUGGUAAUCAGAAUAUGAAAAAUGUAAUUUUUCCAUAGCAUGGGUUACCGUGUAACAGUUUCUUGGAAAAAGUACUCAGCUGUGAGUUCCCUAAUAUCCAAGAAACAAGAAUCCAGAAUCUUUGGCCAACUUGAUCCCCGCUAGAACAGCUUCUAGGGGAGUCCAUUGAGUCAUUGCGACUCAUUACUUGGCUGAAUUCCCUUGGAAACUUGAAUAAAGGAGUCCUGAGCACUAUGUAGAUUUCAGCAGUUGCUUCUGCUCGAACUAAAGUGCUGAAAUGGUUUUCCGGCACGUGACUACGAAUAAAAAGAUUACUCUCUCUCCAGAUGAACUAUGCAAUAGUGCAAAUAAUUCUAGCUUCUCUGUUGUCAUAAUAUGGUCAAUAUCCAGAACAAAGCAAGCAAAAUUCACACGAGUGUUGGUUUUGAUGGCCAUUACAAGUUCAAAGGAAGAGUAGUAGCCUAACAUGAAGAUAAAGAGCCUUGUUUGAUAGCGAAGAAUGAUAUGCCUUGCUUCUAAAGAAGGUCUCAAGUUUAGCUUACAUUUAGUCAGAAGAAUCCUUUUGAAGGUUACAAGGCAAGUCAUCUUUGGCUAGUUGACAUUACAGGGUCUUAUUUAUUAUUCAUGCUACGCUUUCUCUUCUUCCACAACCACUUCAAAUUAUAGCUCUGGCUGUUUGCAUGAUUGGCAUUAUGUACCAUUUGAGCAUGCAUGCUAGCUUACGUACUGACGAUUUGUGAGAUAUGAUAUACGUACAUAUUUUGAUAAUAGAUUAAUUAGGCAAUGGUAUUUUCUGUUUAACAUUAGCUUGGAUGCAUUAAUUUUUCCUUUUUUUUUUUUAAUUUGUAGGACUGAGGCAUCAAUGCUUGCUUCAUUUAUUUAUUACUAUGAAGCUUUACAGCAUAAAUUAAAUGACUAGAGCACAAAGUGAUGAAUUGAAGAUGAGCCAUGAAGUUUUAAUUUAAUGGUGUCAAGACAAGUGAAGAAUCCAGCAUAAUUUGAUGAAGUGAAUAUGUACUAAUUUUGGGAUAAGAAGUCAAGAUUUUAAAGUUAUAAGGCCGAAUCACAACCAAAAAAAAAAAUUGUACGUUAAAAAAAAUAAAUUAUUUUCUUGAGUUUACUUGUCAGAUUGUGUCUAUGUCAGGCAUGAUGCAUAUAUAGCAAGAAUGAGUCAUUAUGAUUGUCACGAAGGUAUUUUGUAAAAUGAAUUAAGUGUUUGGCGAAUUGUCUCAACGAGCACUCCUCCAUCUGUCACCACAUCAAGUUACAUGAACCGAUAAAAGGCAAGUGAUGUGCAAGCAAAGGACAGUUGAGAACUCAGGUGACUUAGUACUUGAUCAAGAAUGCUAUAGAGCAUGAAAUUGAUGAUAGGCUCAGGUUGGAAUGAAGACAAAUGGAGCUGUACUUAAUAGAAGGACAAUCACAGCAACUAGUAGAUCAAAGUCACAAUGUCCCUAUAUAGGAUCAAUUUGCAACUGUGUAUAGUACAAUACUAUUACACAUCUUGGUCGGGAAAAUCAGUUUGUAUAGACAUAUAUCUUCAAGAAGAAAUUAAAAUAUAGCGUGUUGUGUAAUUUUUUUGUUCAUUUACUUUGCCACUUUUAAAAUUUCUGUUUGAUUCUUAAAAUAAGAUGAAUUUGGAUCUGAUUCUAAUUUAAGCUGUGAUGAUCUUUUACAGAUUAUGUACCACGUGUUAUAACAAUGAACAGUGAAGAUCUAAUUAGCCAAGAUAGAUACUGCCUUUGAAUUACCCAGAAACUUGUAAACUCUUCCUUGUAGCUAUAGUUGCAAGGCAAGUCAUUCUUGGCCACCAAACAAGGGUUUUCAUCUUGGUGUUAGGCUACUCAUCUUCUCUGAGCUUCAUGCUUUAGUUGGAUGCCAAUAUUGUGUUUUGACGUCUCUGUUUCUAGUGGACGAAAGACUACAGGUCAGAUGUAGAUGAGUAGACCACCGUCCACAAAUUAUUUCAAUGUUUCCUAAACACUUUUCCUAUGCUUGUUAAGCUUAGCAAUUUGGAAUAUAUUCUUGGACAAUGAUGUAUCAUAUUUGGCGGUGACAGUCAUGAUUCACUCUGCACAAAAUUUAGCUGUAACUAAUAUUGGACUGCAAAUUUGGCAAACCAAAUUAUCUACAGCACAUUGCUUUAACAGGGGAUAUUUAUGAAGAACUAAUAUUGACAAUUACUAGAAGCUGGCAAACUCUCCUAGAUGACUUUCAAGUUUUAAGAAAAUGGUAUCAUUAACAAGUAAUCAUAAACAUUAGAAACCGACAUUUUGUUCAACCACAAUUUGUCACUAUCAAGCUAAACAAUUUGCACACGCUUGUUCAAAUUGAUGCUAAAACUUUUUGUCCAUCUUGUCCCUUUCCCUUUGAGUUGACUAUAUAUAUCCAUAUAGGCCUUCUGACUUAGCUAGAUAUUGGCCCCUACUCCGAUUUGGGAAUGAAGCACAUAAUUUAGCAAAGGAAUUUGGAAUCACUAAAGUUCUUGGGCAUCAUAUAAAGUCAAUGCCUUUGCCAUCUAAAACAAUUUGGUUUUAUAGUGUUCUCGGAUUUCAUCUGUUGUCCUUUUUCCUUCUUGGAAGUUUUUAGCCAUUGUUAUCUAAUAUUUUCCUCAAACAUAAAUGGCAAAUAAGGAAAUUUGGGAAAUUAGUGUUUCUUCUCUCGCAGAUCCUUUAUCAUUGGUAUCUAGCUUUGGUGAUAAAAUGCUAUCAACCAUAUUACUAGUUCUUAAUAUAAAGGCAAGAAAGCAACAAUUAAUAGUUGUGAAUUAAAUGCUGUGGCAUAGUUAAAGCAAUGUAAGCUGCAUUGGAAUCAAAAGGUUAUCCUCAAUGAAGCAGGCAAAAUCAGAGUAGUUUACCCGGUGUACAUGUCAAAUAAAUUAUAGGAGCAGAGGAUACUUGGUUGUCACAUACAUCCAACCAUGUAUAUAACACAUCCUUAAUUUGGAGAAGCUGGAGGUCUGAUUAUAUGCAUGUCUUAUCUGAAAAUUUCCUGGCGAACUAAUAAGAAGAUUGGCCUCUGCUGAAUUGAGGACUUCAUGGAUUUUUCAAAAAUCCUGACUAGCACUUUUGGGUUUUGGCAGUAAGAAGUACAUGAUCAUCAAGCAAUAAUGCAUUUCAUAUUUGGGUCCAUCUCAAUUUUAAAGAUUAUAUUCAUUAUGGUAAGCUUAAUGAUACUGAGUGCAAGAACGUAUAAGGGAAAAGAGUCAUUUUAUGCAAUUUGAUGGCAACCUAUUGAAUUUCUGAUCUGCAUCCGAUUUGUAUUGUUCUUUUCACCAGCUAUACAUAGAGGCUUCAGAACACAGUAUUGGCAUCCAAUUAUAUCGAAGUAUAGAAGUUCAUGUUGGGAAAAUAUGCUCUUUAAAAGCAUAUGUGUUUAUUUAAUUGUAAUAUAUAAUUUUUUUUAUUAAUAAAAUAAAGUAGGCAUUUUAUUCAAAUAUCUUAAUUGCAUUAAUAUUUGUAUUAAAAUCCAUUUAAUCAUAUUAUAUGUAUUUAUGUGAUCACCAUGUGGAUUCACAGAAGACAUAAAUACAAGUUAUCUUAUGAUUAAAUAAAUUUAGUUCGCAGUUGAUAAAUAAAGUUGGGCACUUUAUUUAGGUAUAGACUGUAAUAAAUUCAUUGAAUGAUUUGUCUUAAUCAUGUAUGAAUUUAUUGAUGUAGUACGACUACAUUGAACAUGAUCACAUAUGAGAUUUAAUUAACUUUGUAAUAACUGUCAGACUUAUUAAAUCUCAUAGGCAUUGAUUUUACUGUAAUCUUAAUCUUGAGUUAAUUAUGAUUUCAUGAUUGUAAUUGUUAUUCCAUUUGAGUUACCAAUGGGCACGACACAUCCUUGUGGUCAAGAUUACCCGGUAUUUUGGUGGGAGCAAUUAUGAGUAUUGGAGUUAUGGAUUAACAAUAUAGAAUUUGUACAACACAUCUCUUGAUAGGUUUUCGGCACUUGAUCAUAGAAUUCUCUGGCCGGAGUGUGUCAACAUAUUUAGUAUGUUGAAAAUGAUCAUUAGAGAAAACCAGUAAGGAUCAAGGAAUAAAAUGUUAUUAAAUUGAUUGGACAGUUGAGAUAUCAAUUUAAUUAACGAUGUGGUACAAAGGAUUGUGCAGUAAAGAAAUCAAUGUGGCUUGGGACGAAUUAUUAUUCGAGCAUACAAUUAUGGAAGUCAGUUCCAAUCUUCUAGUGGAGUAGAUUUGGAAUUAAAUAAUUAGGCUAGUUUAAUUACAUGCCUAAUUGUUAUAGCCACUAUUGUAUGUUCCCAAAUGAUCCCCGAGUUAGCUCAUUUAAUUGACUGCACCACUACUGGACUAAUAAGUAAGAUAACUAGCUAUUUGUUAGUGGGAGGCUCCAUUUAAUUAGCUUGUGUAUAAGGGACCUUAUGUUAUUUUACAAGGUGGGUCUCCUAUAGAAAAAGCAAGUAACGUAAGUUUUGUUUUUUUGAUUUUUGGAGCCUAGGGUUUUCACUAAAGGGAGAUAUAAAAGGCUUAUUUUUUCUAAAGAAAAAGAUAGUAGCCACUUUAUACAGAUCAGAGAAAAAGAUUUUUCUAUCUAUUGUUGAGAGAAAAAAUUUCUCGUGCUAGUUGCUUUGGUAGUGAUAAAGGCGCCAACACGUCAAGUGCAGAUCGAACCUGAGUCAUAACCUGGAAGAUCAUUUGUGACAGUUUGUGAUCUAACAAGCGAGGUGGUGACGGAUCGUGAUAUAACAGGAGUGGUAGUGGCGGAUCGUGAUCUAGGAGCCUAAAUCACUUCAGCGGAAAAAGCCAACUCGGAUUUUCAAGGUACGAUUUAUAGAAUACAAAUUAUUAUAUAUUAUAUGAGAGCGAUCUUCAAAAGAUUUUAUAAAAAAAUUAAAAACUUAAUUUUUCCCCAACAAUUGGUAUCAGAGCCUCCUUAUAUUAAUAUAUAAGAAUUUCGUAUGAAAUCAUUCUUGAAAUUUAUGUAUUAGAGUGGCACAAUUUAUUCAUAUAUAUAUUAAUUGUUUAAUAUAUGAAUAAAGCAUGUUUGAUUUGUCUUAAUUCAUGGUUAGAUUUUUCGGUGUAUUUUUUCUUUGGAUUUGUAACAAGAGGGGUUGUUUUUUAUCAUCAUGUUUCUCUCUUGAUUUAUUUUACUGUUAUAGAAUUUUUGUAAGCCAAAAAUUGGCCUAGGAAAUUUAUAAAUUAAUCUCGGAUUUUCAAGAUCAAAGCGACGAAGGCUGGAAAUUUUGACAGCGGCAACCAGCAGUAAGCAGCGUGCGGCCAGCAGCACAUGCUGCCAGUAAGCACGCGCAGCGGCAAGCAGGGCGCAGCUCGCAGCAAUAGCGCGCGACCAGCAGCGCCACCAGCAAGCGCGCGGGGGCUGGAAGCUUGCGGACGUCUGCGGCUGGCGAAGGGCGUCGUUUGGUGGCUUCCCGGCGUGGUGGUGAUGGUCAAAUCGGCGUCGGACUUGGAUGAACAGUGGCUGCCCUUUGUGGUGAUGGCAGCUGGGGAGAGAAAAAGAUGGAUUUAGGGUUUUAAUGGUUUUUAUCAUUACGAUCCCUAUAGUUCCAUAUAUUUUCUCUUUGGGCUGAUAAGUUUUAAGUUUUAGUAUUUAAGUCCAAAAACAGUUUUGGGUUUAAAGAAUCCUAGUUUUAGGCCCAAUUGAAAUUUGGGCUUAAUGAAUUAAAAUGCAUAGAUAAAAUUGAACACAUUAAAUUUAUUUUUUGUCCAAAAAUUUUAUGUUAAUAAAAAAAAUUAAUUGUUUAUUUAUUUCCUUUCAAAAUUAAAAUUGGACCAAUUAAAAAAUUUAAAAGCCCAAUUUCUCAUAGUCCAUUAACAAAGACAAGCUUAUGGAAGAUGGACAUUGACAAGAAGCCCAAUGAAGAUUAGGCUUAGGGUUAAUGAAUUUUUCAUUAUUAGGAAAGCCAUGAAUUAAGAUUAUUUAAUUGUUUUUCUAUAUGUUGUGUUUUGGAUGAUAACAUGCCAUGAUAACAUGUCAUAUAGAAUAGGUAGUGCCACUCUAUGCAUAAUAAUACAUGUCAUUCAUUAAUAAUGAAUCUUAUUAUAUUGUUUGAAAUUUGCCUAUGCUUAAUAAUAUUGGAUAUCAUCUAGAUAAUAUUAUAGGAAGCAUGCAAUUAACAAUAUGUAUGUUUUAAAAAAAGAAAAAUCAAUUUUAAAAUAUUGAGUGGGAGAGGGAAAAUUUAAGAUAAUUUUUCCCACGGGCUCCAUUGUUAGUUCAAUAAUAAAAUUAUAUAUAUACAUCGACUUCAUGAUACGGUGAUGCUCCCUACGGAGGGUAUAUAUAUUAGAUAUUUUAUUUGAUGAACUUCUUCAAAGAUAAAAUUGAAAUAUUUUUCAAUCAAUUGUUCACCCCAACGGCGACUAUUGAUAUGAAAAAUACGUAGAUUGAAACAAUGGUUAUACACUCAACUAAAAUUUGUUAUUAACCUUCCCAACGAAGCUCUGUUAACAAAUUUAGGCCCAAAGGGAUAACGAUAAUUAUUUAUCAUGUCUCUACAUGAAAGUAAAUAAUCCAAUGGAUAAUUGGGUCUAGUAAGUGUAGACAUGACUUCCCCACGGAUAGCUUGUCAAAGUGGUACUAGAUUAUCGUUACAAUAAAUAAAAAUGCAUUUAUGAUUUUUUGUAUUUUUGUCAUUUAUUGUGAAUUUUGUUUCAGAGUAUUUAUGCAUGUGUAUUUUGUUUUUUCAGAAAAUGUCUUCCAUCAACCCAUUAUUAAUUAUCCUUGUUAAAAAUGAACUCACUGGCAAAAAUUAUUUAGAUUGGAAACGCAAUCUAUUUAAUAUUCUCACUGCUAAAGGCUGCAAAUAUGUGUUGACCCAGCAAUGCCCUCUAGAACCAACGUUAUACGAUUAUAGAAAUCAGAGGGAGCCUUAUGAGAAAUGGUGCGAAGCUAACAAAAUGGCUAAGCACUAUAUAUUUGCUUCGAUUUCUGUGGAACUGCAUAAGAAACAUCGGAGCAUGGAAACAGCCACUGAAAUUAUGGCUAGUCUUUAUCAGAUAUUUGGGCAAAAUAUCCAUUUUGCCAGAGAAGCAGCUUUAAAACGUAUUACGGAUACUAAGAUGGAAGAGGGCACAAAAGUUCGUGAUCAUGUCCUCAAAAUGAUGGACUAUUUGAAUGAGGUAGAGAUUCAUGGUGUUCAAAUCAAUGAUAAAUCAAAGAUUAACAUGGUGAUUGAAUCUUUACCUGAUACAUUCAAAGAGUUUAAGGUCAGCUAUAUCUUAAACAAUAAAGAUAUGACUUUAAUUGAAUUAAUGCACGAACUACAUGCUAUAGAAGAAUUUUAUCAUAGCAGAAAACUUCCUGAAAAAAGAUUCUCUUCAAGGCUUAAGUCGAAAGACAAGAAUGAGCAAACAAGAGUUGGGAUCGGCAAACUGUCCACUAAAACAAGUGGCAAGCCAAAAGGCAAGUGUUACAAAUGUGGACAGAAGGGUCACUGGAAGAAAGAUUGUCCUAAGAUUAUUAAAAUCAGGUAUAGGAAAUCUUUAAGCUCCCUAAUUAGUUCAGAUUUCUAUUGAUUCAUACAAUAAUGAAUUCUGAGAUAACUAAUAUUAUUUGUAAUUCAUUUAUUUGGUUUUCAGGAAACCAAGAGAUUAAGUGAAGAAACCUUCAAAUAGCAGUUGAGGACAUGCUAGUUUAUAUCAAUUGAAAUGCUAGAUCAAUUUUACAAGACUUUAGUUUUGAUAUUUGUCUUUAUUUUUCCAAAUAUUAGAGGAAUUUAAUUUCGGUGGCUUGUUUUAAUAAACAGGAGUACACUGUUAUUUUUGGAUCCUCUGUUUAUUACUUAUUUUGAUUAUUUAUAAAGACAAUUUAUAUCAUAUAAGUCUAUUGAUCUAUUCAAAGCAAGAUAUAAUGAUAAAAAGUAUAUGCAUUUAUCUAAGAAAAGAAAUGUUUCUUCAAACCAAAAUCACCUCUGAUAUUUAUGCUUAAGUCAUAUAAACUAUAAUAAGAUUUUAAGAAAAUGAUUAAUGAUAGACUUGUUGGCCUAUUAAGAUUGAUCAUUGUAACUCUAUAAAUCUUAUUUAGAAAAGUAAUAUGACCAGGAUGCUCAUUUUGAGCUAAAAGCAUAACAUUGUAUUUGAUGAUUUAGCGCAUACAAAUGUAUACAGACUAAUCAGUUUACAUGUUAUAAGAGAUUAUGAGUAUUCUAUCAAUCUUGUUGAUGAAUAUUCAUUUUAUUUAUGUUUGUCUAAAUGCGUCAUGAUUCCAAUGCUUUUGAAAUUCAAAAGAGUACGUGGAUAAGACAAAAGUAAUUAGAUAGGAACAUAAAAUAACUUCGAUAUGAUCGAAACAAAGAAUAUCUCUAUAGAGAAUUGAAGCACUAUUUGGUUGUCAAUGAACACUAUGAUACAAUAGUGUAAUUAAAUGGAGAAACAAGAUUCUUUUGGAUAAGACAAGAUAUAUACUAAGUGGUUUAUCAUUUACAUUUUUUAUUCCAAAUACUAGUAUUUAAAACUACAAAGUUUAUUGAACUUAGUUUCAUCUAUUUCGGUGUCUACUACUCCAAGAAAUUUUGAAAAAGUCACAAACAUGGUUUGAGACACAUUCGUAUUUGGAGUUUACUAGUAUUUCUACUAGAAUCAGAGAUAAAGAAGAUGGAUUCGUCUUCAGAAGCUUGCAUGUUUUAGGUAUCUUAAAGGAAUAAGGGAAAGUCUGAAUUAUAGUCCUCAAGAUAGGUAUAUAUUUAUAGAAAUAUUCUUUACUUUCUUUGAGGAAGACUAUAUAAUGACUUAUAACUUAAGAGUAAGGUAAAACUAGAGAAAUAAAAGAGAUCAGGUUGAUGCUCAGCUUUCAACACCUGUUAUAGAACAGGAAGAACAGCAACAACCAGCUGAUCAGCACAGGAUUAUCCUUGAACAACCAUCACUUUUAGAACCUCGUCGUAGUGGGAGGGUAACUAGGUUACCUGCGAGAUACAUGUUUUUGGGAGAAACCUAUACGGCUAUCUCAGAUGAACAUGUACAAGAUCCCACUAGUUACAACGAAGCUCUAAUAGAUAGAGAUGUUGAAUUUUGGAAAAAGGCUAUGAAUAAAGAAAUGGAAUCUAUGUAUUCCAAUAAAGUCUGGGAACUUGUAGAGGCACAAAAUGGGGUAAAACCUAUGGGGUGCAAGUGGAUCUACAAGAGAAAAAGAGGAGUAGACGGAAGGGUGGAAACAUUUAAAGUAAGAUUAGUAGCCGAAGGGUUUACUCAGAAAGAAGGAAUCGAUUAUGAGGAAACCUUUUCUCCGGUUGCUAUGCUUAAAUCCAUCAGGAUUCUGCUCUCCAUUGUUGUAGUGCUAGAUUAUGAAAUUUGGCAAAUGGAUGUCAAGACUGCCUUUCUUAACGGGCAUCUUAAAGAAAACAUCUACAUGCAGCAACCAGAUGGAUUUAUACAAAAAAGGCCAAGAACACAUGGUAUGUAAGUUGCAGAGAUCCAUUUAUGGAUUGAAGCAAGCAUCCCGAUCAUGGAAUAUCAGAUUUGAUCAAGCGAUUAAAUCGCUUGGAUUCAUUCAGAACAUUGAUGAAUCAUGUGUGUACAAGAAAAUUCAGGGAAAAUUUGUAGCCUUCCUAGUUCUGUGUAGACAAUAUUCUCCUGAUUGGAAACGAUAUAGGAGUAUCGACUACAAUAAAGAUUUGGUUAGCAAAAUAAUUUGAUAUGAAAGACUUGGGAGAGACAAGUUAUAUUCUUGGUAUCAAGUUACUAUGAGACCGGAAGAAUAAAACUUUAGCCUUGUCUCAAGCGGUCUAUAUCGAUAAGAUAUUGGCUAGAUUUAGCAUGGAAAAUUCCAAGACUGGUUUAUUACCAUUCAGACAUGGAAUUACAUUUUCUAAGGAUCAAUCACCUAAAACAUCUGAAGAGAUAGAGAUAAUAAGACGAGUUCCCUAUGCAGAAGUUGUGGGAAGUCUCAUGUAUGCCAUGCUUUGCACUAGCCUAGACAUCUGUUUUGCGGUAGGGAUGGUUAGCAGAUAUCAAUUUAAUCAUGGACCUCAAUACUGGACUGCAGUCAAGCAUAUUAUAAAGUAUCUGAAAAGAACUAAAAAUUAUAUGCUUGUGUAUUCUGGUGAUGAAUUUAUUCUAGUGGGUUAUACUAAAUUCUGAUUUUUUGUCAGAUAAGGAUUUUAGAAAAUCAACUUCCGGCUAUGUGUUUACAUUAAGAAGUGGAGCUAUUAGUUGGAUGAGUGUGAAACAAUCUUGUAUCACACACUCCACAACUGAAGCUGAAUAUGAGGCUACAUUUGAAGCUGCAAAAGAAGCUAUAAAGGCUCUGUAAGUUCCUACAAAAUCUUGAGGUGGUACCUGUUGUAACUACACCCCUUAAACUAUUUUGUGAUAAUGGUGGUGCAGUAGCUCAAUCUAAGGAACCACAAGAAACAAAACAUAUUGAGAGGAAGUAUCAUCUCAUAAGGGAAUAGUGUAGAAAUGUUAUAUGACAGUACCCCAAAUGGCAUUAGAUGCUAAAUGACAGAUCUUAUCAAAAUUACCAUUAGUGGGAAACCUUUAUAACCUGCACUUAGAGCCCUAGAGCAUGUGCAAUAUGCCAGAUAUGUUUUGAGAGCUAGUGGGAGAUUGUUGGGAAAAUAUGCUCUUUAAAAGCAUAUGUGUUUAUUUAAUUGUAAUAAACAAUUUUUCUAAUUAAUAAAAUAAAGUAGGUAUUUUAUUCAAAUAUCUUAAUUGCAUUAAUAUUUGUAUUAAAGUCCAUUUAAUCAUAUUAUAUGUAUUUAUGUGAUCACCAUGUGGAUUCACAAAAGACAUAAAUACAAGUUAUCUUAUGAUUAAAUAAAUUUAGUUCGCAGUUAAUAAAUAAAGUUAGGCACUUUAUUUAAGUAUAGACUGUAAUAAAUUCAUUGAAUGAUUUGUCUUAAUCAUGUAUGAAUUUAUUGAUGUAGUACGACUACAUUGAACAUGAUCACAUAUGAGAUUUAAUUAACUUUGUAAUAACUGUCAGACUUAUUAAAUCUCAUAGGCAUUGAUUUUACUGUAAUCUUAAUCUUGAGUUAAUUAUGAUUUCAUGAUUGUAAUUGUUAUUCCAUUUGAGUUACCAAUGGGCACGACACAUCCUUGUGGUCAAGAUUAUCCGGUAUCUUGGUGGGAGCAAUUAUGAGUAUUGGAGUUAUGGAUUAACAAUAUAGAAUUUGUACAACACAUCUCUUGAUGGGUUUUCGGCACUUGAUCAUAGAAUUAGUGUGUCAACAUAUUUAGUAUGUUGAAAAUGAUCAUUAGAGAAAACCAGUAAGGAUCAAUGAAUAAAAUGUUAUUAAAUUGAUUGGACAGUUGAGAUAUCAAUUUAAUUAACGAUGUGGUACAAAGGAUUGUGCAGUAAAGAAAUCAAUGUGGCUUGGGACGAAUUAUUAUUCGAGCAUACAAUUAUGGAAGUCAGUUCCAAUCUUUUAGUGGAGUAGAUUUGGAAUUAAAUAAUUAGGCUAGUUUAAUUACAGGCCUAAUUGUUAUAGCCACUAUUGUAUAUUCUCAAAUGAUCUCCGGGUUAGCUCAUUUAAUUGACUGCACCACUACUGGACUAAUAAGUAAGAUAACUAGCUAUUUGUUAGUGGGAGGCUCCAUUUAAUUAGCUUGUGUGUAAAGGGCCUUAUGUUAUUUUACAAGGUGGGUCCCCUAUAGAAAAAGCAAGUAACGUAAGUUUUAUUUUUUUGAUUUUUGGAGCCUAGGGUUUUCACUAAAGGGAGAUAUAAAAGACUUAUUUUCUCUAAAGAAAAGAUAGUAGCCACUUUAUAUAGAUCAGAGAAAAAGAUUUUUCUCUCUAUUGUUGAGAGAAAAAUUUUCUCGUGCUAGUUGCUUUGGUAGUGAUAAAGGCGCCCACACGUCAAGUGUAGAUCGAACCUGAGUCAUAACCUAGAAGAUCAUUGGUGACAGUUCGUGAUCUAACAAGCGUGGUGGUGACGGAUCGUGAUCUAACAGGAGUGGUAGUGGCGGAUCGUGAUCUAGGAGCCUAAGUCACUUCAGCAGAAAAAGCCAACUCGGAUUUUCAAGGUACGAUUUCUAGAAUACAAAUUCUUAUAUAUUAUAUGAGAGCGAUCUUCAAAAGGUUUUAUAAAAAAAUUAAAAACAUGAUUUUUCCCCAACAGUUCAAAGGAAGACUUGGAGAGCUGUAAGUGUAAAUUGAAGCAGUCUAAAGAAUAUCCUUCUAUCUGUGAGUGCAAAGAGAGCAUGUGAUGAAGAACAUACAUAUGUGUGUGUGUGUAAAUCAAGGCUUUUUAAUGCAAAUGGGUUGAAAGAAUCUCCAAAAUAUUGUAUCCGAUCAUUUUCAUUUACUAUCUUUUGUUCUCUUACAUAAUUCAGCUUUAUCACUUGAAAAAAAAAAAAAAAACAAGAAUAAGCAAGAGUGAAAGCAUUAUUUUUCUUAUCUUCACCGUAAGACUCUUAUCUCUACUAAUCUACAGUCGCGUACUGAGAAGUUAAUGUUGUGGAAGAAGAGCAAGCCUAGCGUGACUUAUAAGAGCCUGUCAAGUUAGCCAAGAUAUGAUAUGCCUUUGAAUUGCGUAGCUAAGCUACAUGUGCUUCAAACAAUUUCUUGUAGCUGCCGUGGUGGCAAUGUUGUGCGCGGAAUGCGGAAUCAAGCGCACCAAAUAAUUACAGAAAAAUAAAGGACACAAGAAUUACGUGGUUCGGUAAUUAAACCUACAUGCACGGAGGUAAGAAAGAAUAAUUGUUUAUUUAACAAUUAAUAAAGUAUAAAUAUUUGAGUAAUGAAUCUCACUUCCCAGAAACCCAAAUAUACCCAAUACUCUCACACUCUGCAGGAAAGAUAAAUUCCUCAGACACACUUUUCUCACUUCUCUAAAAAGCUUAGAAACUUAUAAGCUUAACAAUUUUGAGAUAAUUUCAAAUGAAUAAAAUCCUUAGCUAUUUAUAGGAUAAAUGAAUUAUUAUGCAAAGAAUAAAAUAAUUAAAAAUAUAAUUUUUAAUUAUUAUUAUUUUUCAAAUCCAUCCCCUUUGUCAAUUCUUUCUUUUCGGUUACAAAAUCAAUUUUGAUUUUGCUUCUCUACAAUUGUUGGUGCAACCAACAGUUUGUUGACUUCAACAAAUCUCCACCUCGGCGAAAAUUUUUCAAAUCUGAGCCAACUACCAACGAGCCAUCAUCCCCAAAGUGGCUGCAUCUCUAUGACUGCCUACGUACCUAAAAUUUGGGAUCAAGCCAACCGUAGUUCAAAAUUCUCGAAGGACAUAUCUUAACACAAUCGAAGGAUUUGAAUUAGUUUCAAGUAAUGUUGAAACUUAACUCCAGAAACUACUUUCGUCAACAUAUCUGAUGGAUUAUCUUUAGUAUCAAUUUUUCUCAACAACACAACACCGCUCUCGAUAAUCUCCCUCACAUAAUGAUAUUUCACAUCUAUGUGCUUUGUCCGAGCGUGAUAUGUUUGAUUUUUCGCAAGGAAUAUCGCACUUUAAUUAUCACAGAAGACCGUAAUGUUCUCCUAGAUUACUCUCAAAUCAUCUAACAAGCCUUUCAACCAGAUAGCUUCUUUUACAACUUCAGUUGCUGCCAUAUACUCUGCUUCCGUAGUGGACAGAGCAAUUGUCGAUUGCAAAAUCGACCUCCAGCUAACCGGACCUCUACCCAAUAUGAAUACGUAGCCCGUUGUUGAUCUUCGCUUAUCUAGGUCUCCAACGAAAUCAAAAUCACAAUACUUAACACAUUGUUGACCACAAUCCUUCUUGAACAAUAACCCAACAUCAACUGUCCCAUACAGAUAUCAAAGAAUCCACUUACGCAAGCCAUUGAUUUUUACCUGGAUUGUGCAUGUAUCUACUAACCAUGCUCACUGCUUGAGAUAUAUCGGGCCUUGUGCAUACCAUAGCAUACAUAAGACUACCCACAACACUAGCAUAUGGAACACGAGCCAUGUAAUCGCACUCCUCUUGAGAUCUAGGACAUGAAGAAGAGCUUAAUUUGAAAUGAGGAGCUAAAGGUGUACAUACCACUUUUGUUUUGCCAUCCAUACCGAAUCUUUCUAGCACUUUCUUCAAAUAAGACUUUUGAGUCAACCAUACGCUCCCAUUCUUCUUGUCUCUACGAAUCUCCAUCCCAAGUAUUCUCUGUGCAUCACCCAAGUCUUUCAUCUCAAACUCAGAAUCCAGCUGCUUCUUUAAUCUUUCGAUCUCAUCUCUAUUCUUCGAAUCUGUAAGCAUAUCGUCGACAUAGAGUAACAAAUAGAUGAAAGCUCCAUCUGGUAGUCUUCUAAAGUAAACAUAAUGAUCGUGUUCACUUCUGGUGAAUUUCUGCCCUUGUAUAAAUUGAUCAAAUUUUUUGUACCACUGCCUUGGCGAUUGCUUCAGUCCGUACAAAGAUUUAAUCAACCUACACACAUGAUUCUCCUUUCCAGCAAUUGUGAAACCACAAGGCUUAAUCAUAUAGAUUUCCUCCUCUAAAUCUCCAUGUAAGAACGCCGUCUUAACAUCCAAUUGAGCCAAUUCUAACUCAUAUUCUUCCUUUUGAGCAAAACCUUUUGCCACGAGCCUUGCCUUGUAUCGAGGAGUUGUUUGAUUCGGAGAUCCUUGCUUUUUGGUGUAGACCCAUUUAUUGCCAAUAACCCUUUUCCCCUUUGGUAACUUUACAAGUUCCCAAGUUUGGUUUUGAUGGAGAGAUUUCAUCUCUUCCUCCAUGGCUAACUUCCACUGACCACUUUCACUGCUGCGUAAUGCUUCACCGAAAGUGUUAGGAAUGUCAUCAUCAAUAACUGGAAGUGCAUAGGCUACCACCAUAUCUUUAGUAAACCAUCCGGGUUUAUUUAUCUCUCUUAUUGGCCUCCUUGUUGCUAUAAAAUCAUCAUUAUCUAUAUCAUCAAUUGUUUCUUCAUUUUGUGGGACAUCAGAAGAAACAACAUCUUCUUCAACUCUAGGUGUCACCUCCAUAGUUGAACUCUUCUUUGAUGUAGAACUAACUGGUACAUAUGGAGUUGCAUCAAACUCCACCCGCUGCAAUACCUCUUUGGUCUUGUUCUCCACCUGCUGAGAACUUGAAGCUUUCAUCAUUGAAGCUUCAUCAAAUGUGACAUCUCUGUUACACAUAAAUUUUUUGUCUUCGAGAUCCCAAAACUUGAAGCCCUUUACUCCACCUUUGAAUCCCACAAAGAUAGCUUUUCUAGCACGAGGAUCCAGUUUACCAUCUUUGACAUGAUAAUAAGUUGGACACCCGAAUAUACGAAGGGAAUCAUAGUCUUGUGCAUGCUUUCCAGACCACAUUUCCAUAGGAGUUUUACCUCCAAUUGCAGUAGAAGGCAACCGGUUUACCAAGUGACUUGCGUAGCUCACAGCUUCAGCCCAAAACUUUUUAUCUAAACCAGUAUUAGAUAACAUACACCGUACCUUCUCCAGUAAAGUACGAUUCAUACGCUCAACCACACUGUUUUGUUGUGGAAUAUGUCUCACCGUGAAAUGUCUUUUAAUACCCUCGUUCUGGCAUACUUGCAAGAAUGGAUCAGAAGUAUAUUCACCCCUAUUAUCAUAUCGUAAUGCUUUGAUCUUUCUGCCAGUUUGAGUCUCCACCAAUUUCUUCCAUUUCACGAAAAUCUCUAGAACCUUAUCAUUUGCUCGCAUGGUGUACACCCAUACACGUCUAGAGAAAUCAUCAACAAAUAUAACAAAAUAAUGGCUUCCACCAAUUGAUGCAGUCUUGGUUGGUCCCCAUACAUCACUGUGAACAUAUUCAAGGAUCUCACGAGUAUCGUGAUUAGCUAUACCAAACUUGACCCUUGUUUUCUUGCCUACUGCACAAUGUUCACAUAAAUUUAAUUUACAGGUUUUUAUACCUUUUAAGAGUCUGUGCCUCAUUAGAGUUUGCAAAGACUUCUCUCCAGUAUGUCCCAAUCGUACAUGUCAUAGCUCAGUAGUGUCACUGUACGUCUCAGCAACAUUUCCUUUCAAAUAGUACAGAUUGUGACGCUGAACCCCUUGCAGAAUCACCAUAGCCCCAUGUGUAAACUUCAUUAUACCAUCUUCAAUGGUAACCUUGUAGCCUUUAGCUUCCAAAGCACCCACAGAAAUUAGAUUUUUCUUUGAAGCUGGAACAAAUCUAACCUUUUUGAGUUGUUUGACCAUUCCAUCAAACAUUUUGAGUCGAAUUGUUCCUAUCCCCAUUGUGCGACAAGGUUGAUCAUUCCCCAUCACAACUGCACCGGAUUCCAGAUUACGAAAAUCCGUAAACCAUUCAUUAAUAGGACACAAAUGAUAGGUUGCUCCAGUAUCAAGUAUCCACUCGCUCGAACUAGCCACGUAUGUUGCAGGAGUAAUAUUUAGUGAAUAAUCAGAGUCUUCAUCUUUCCGUGCCAUGUUUGCUGCUGCUGGUUUCUUUCCAUCUCUCUUUUGAGCUUUUGGACAAUCUUUCCUCCAAUGGCCUUUUUCAUGACAAAAGGUACACUCGUCUCGAGCUAUAUUUAUGCUUCUCGAUUUGGAUCGAGAAUUCUUUCCACCACGCUUCUUCUGUUUCUCCAUCGCUCAAUCUCUGCUCACCAAAGCUUCAGACGAUGCUCGUUCAGAAUUUUUAUCAUUAUUUCGAAUCUCCAAGUUAGUCAAUGCUGUGCAAACAUCUUUGAAGACGAUCACACUCUUCCCAUAUAUCAAGGUAGUCACAAAAUGGCUCUAUUCCUUUGGUAGUGAGUGUAAUAAAAUCAUAGCCUUGACUUCAUCCUUAAUAUCUUCAUCAAGAUUCUUAAAAUCAGCAAGUAACUUUUCAAAUCUUGAGACAUGAUCGUGCAUUGACACCCCAUGCUUCAUUCGAAAGCCAUAUACUUGGUUCAUUGUAUGAAGACGAUUUUCAAGACUUUUCAGCAGGUACUUCUCCUCCAAUGUACGCCACAAAGUCACCGCACAUUUUUCAUCUUUCACCAAGUAUUUCACCUCCUUGAUCAAACAAGAUCUGAUCUGACCACAAGGUUUCUCGUUCAUAGGAUCCUAAAUUUCUUCAUCAUACAAGUGUCUUUUAUUUUUCAGAAUAACAUCGAGAUCGAUUUGAAUAAGGGCAUCCAUAACUUCACGCCUCCACAUGCCGAAGUUGAUUUUCCCAUCAAACUUUUCAACAUCGAUCUUCUGGCCUCCUAUAACAGGUGCUGAAUAGCAAUUUGACAAAUCUAGCCUCCCACCUGAAGUGUCUCUUGAAAUAGUCUCGGUAGAUCUCUCCCCAAUUCUAGAAGUUUCACCUUCUACCAUUUUCUUAACGAACUAUUUCUACUUGAAAAACAGCCUCCAUGAUGUUAAUUUCGCGUGAAUAAAUGCACCAGGAAAAUUCCCAAGAGACUGGACGGGAACUCGAUCCUAAUUAAAAACCAGAAUCCUUAGACUCUUAUCGCCUUUGUUGACAGAACUUUCCUAGACAUGCAAAAAUACACACUAUUUACAAUACAUUGUCUCCCAAGUACAAAUGGUCGUCUCCACCGUAUUCGUGAACAGUACCGUAUGUGAACAGAACCGUAUACGUGAACAGUACCGUAUCCCCCCAAGUACGAACCGUCGGCUCUGAUACCACUUGUUGUGCGCGGAAUGCGGAAUCAAGUGCACCAAAUAAUUACAGAAAAAUAAAGGACACAAGAAUUACGUGGUUCGGUAAUUAAACCUACAUCCACGGAGGUAAGAAAGAAUAAUUGUUUAUUUAACAAUUAAUAGAGUACAAAUAUUUGAGUAACGAAUCUCACUUCCCAGAAACUCAAAUAUACCUAGUACUCUCACACUCUGCAGGAAAGAUAAAUUCCCUAGACACACUUCUCUCACUUCUCUAAAAAGCUUAGAAACUUAUAAGCUUAACAAUUUUGGGAUAAUUUCAAAUGAAUGAAAUUCUUAGAUAUUUAUAGGAGAAAUGAAUUAUUAUGCAAAGAAUAAAAUAAUUAAAAAUAUAAUUUUUAAUUAUUAUUAUUUUUCAAAUCCAUCCUCGUUGUCAAUUCUUUCUUUUCGGCUACAAAAUCAAUUUUGAUUUUGCUUCUCUAUAAUUGUUGGUGCAACCAACAAUUUGUUGACUUCAACAGGCAAGGCAAGUCAUUCUUGGCUACCGAACAAGGCACUUCAUCCUCAAGUUAAGCUACUCAUCCUUUCUGAAAUUCGUUCUUUUGUUGGAUAAACCAAUAUUGUGUUUCAAAGUUGCUAUUUAUAGCCGAUGAAAGAACAGUGAUUAUUUCGCCACUUUUGUAUUGUAUAAUCAUUAAGCUUACCAAAUAGGAAUGUAUUCUGUAUAUGCAAUGCAUUUGUUUCAUGUCCCUGCAGAUUAAAAAAUGUACAGAAUUUCAACAAAGAAAGAAAGUACACAAGGUUCAACUGGCUUCUAAUGAACCAGUAGCAUCUACUUAAUCUGAUGUAUCAUAUUUGGCUGUGACAGCCAUGGUUCACUCUUCUCACAUAGCUUUAGUUAUUACAAAAUUAUAAAUUUGCAGAGACACUGUUCUUAUUGAUGCUAUAACUUGUUAUGCACUUACCCUUUUCCUUUGAGUUGACUACUUAUAUGGAGACUAAUCUGACUUAGCUAGAUAUUCACACUACUACAAAUUGGGCAAGAAGCAUAAAAUACAACAAAGAAGAAUGUGGAAUUGAUCAAUAAAGUUGUGGGGAAUCACUGUAGAGCCCUAAUAAUUCUUUUUCAAAAGGAUGAAGCUCUUUCUCAUGACCUUCAGUUUUUUUGUUCACCACAUCACUGAGUCAAGGAACCGACGGCAUAAAUAUACGGAUAGAUAAGAUAAUGAUUCCCCAUCUAGUACCAUUUCAAGUCAAUGCCUUUGCCGAAAAGAAAUGGAUAUUUUAUUAGUUUUAUCCAAACUUUGUUAAUCUAGUGUCAUCUAUCCUAUUAUUAGUUUGUGGAUACAAGACAUGUAUAGAUCUUAGUUCUUAGUAAAGGCAAUAACAGCAUAGUAAACUAAAAGCAGUGUAAGCCGAAUUAGAAUCUACAGAGCAUCGUCAAUGAAGCAAAAUCAGAUUUUACUUCACCAGAUGUACAUGACAAAUACUAUAAUAGCAGCAGAUGAAUCUUGGUUGUAACGUAUAGCCAACUAUGUAUACCAACAAAAAAUCCUCAAUUUGGAGAAGCUGGAAUUUUGAUUAUGUGCGCAUCUAAUCGGAAAUUUCAGGGCAAAUUAGUAAGCAAAUUGGCCUUUGCUGAAAUGAGGAGUACUUAUGGACUUUCCUUUGAAAAAAAAAAAUUUCUGAUAUCUCUUUUGGCAGUAAGAAUAUAUUCAGUUAGGCAAGCAUACUGACACUGAGUGAUGGACAAAAUAAAACAGGGAAAAAAAGUCAUCAUAAAUUACGCAAAUUGAUGGCAACCUAUUAACUUUCCGAUCUGCAUCCUAUAUGUACUCUUCUAUAAAUAGGGACUCCAAACACAAUACCUGGCAUCCAAUUAUAUCAAAGCAUAGAAGAAGUUCAGAGGAAGAGUAGCCUAACAUGAAGAAAGAACCUUGUUUGAUAGCCAAGGAUGACUUGCCUUGCUUUUAAAGAAAGGUCUCUCAACUUUAGCUUAGCUACAUAUUUAGCUAGUAUCCUUGUGCAGGUUCCAAGGCAAGUCGUCUUUGGCUAUUUUGACAGGCUCUUAUUAUUCAUGCUAGGCUUUCUCUUCUUCCACAGCCACUUCAAAUUCUUGUUGCCUGUCGCAUGUGUUCCUUAAAAAUUACACAGUCAACACUGUAUAUUGCAUUUGAGGAAGAUGACGCGUUUUGAGAAAAGAGUCUUACAUGAAGAUUGGAGUUUUGCUUGAUAGCCAAGAAUGACUUGCCCGCUCCUUCUGAGUAAGUGUGGAUAACUCAUUCAAUUCUUCUUCUAUAAAAAUAAAUAACUACAAACUUUUACUUUGGUUCCAGACAGUCACCUUGGCUAAGCUGACAGACUUACUUUUCAUGCUGGGCUUUUCUUCUCUCCCAGGCACCACAAAUUGGCUUUUUGAUUAUAUAUUUAUUUUGUACUAAUUUUGCAGUGAUAAAUUGAAAGUUCUAGGAUUAUUAAAUUGUGUCAACUGUCAAGCCUCAAGUUCCAAGUAAAUACUUAUAUGUAGAGAGAAGUGAUCGAAGAAGGAAUCGGACUCGUACUUUGAUGAAGAGGAUGCCCAGAUUCCCAAUUGGGUUUUGGCAAUUUAAUUUUCGGAAGUCUGCAUACACAAAACAAGAGCAUAUGUAACUUCUAUGCAUGAUUGAUCAUGAUCAUUUAUCAAUUUCAUUCAAUAAAAUUGUUUUUUUUUUUUUUUUUCCAUUAGAUAAUUAAUUGUUGUCUUCAAUAUAAUGUUGCAAACGAUCAACUUGGAGAUUCCAUAACCCCACUACAGAACAUAACAAGACAAGUGAAUGACAUAAUUAAUCAAGAACUGUGAGUUUAAGUUGAUGCGCAAACUGCAUGUGCUCAUAAAGAUUUUGCCAGGUUUGACAUUACAACAUUACACAGUUUUAUACAUGUUUGAAUCUCUACCAACACUAAUUUUACUGAUUUAGUUAAAUUUAAUUCACACGGUAAAUCCAGCCGCUUAAGUGUUAUAGAUAUUUGGAUUCAGGGUGACAAUAAUGUUAAGAGUUGUGAUAUAUUUCAUGUGAAGCUUAAAUACUAUUUGCAUAAGCCCUUAGCCCUCAGAUGUGAUAUUCCGAAUACAGUGCAAAAUCUUCUUUUUCCCUUUUUUAUUGGUAAUGACAUUGACUUUAAUCUUCUUGUCGGUUGAGGCGUCCUUAUAUGCCAUUGAAUCCAUGCAUCAACCAUAUUUAUGAAGGGGAUAGAAUUAAUAAUAUGGUAAGUAAUGUACAUCAAAGAAGAUUGUCUCCACAGUUUACAUUAUUACUGAUUAUCUUAACUGUUAUCAGAGUUUCCCUUGUACAUGAACUUUUGCAAAAUUGCACUUUCAUAGAUGGAUAUAUAUACAUAUACCAAAUGUGGAUCAAAGGCAGCGCAAUCUUGGCUUUAACAAUAACAGCCAUAAAACAUCCUGCGUUUGCAGGAGCUGAAGGCUUGAUUAUAUGAUAUUAAUCGGAAAUUGCCUGGGUAUCAAUAAGCAUAUAUGCAUCGUGACCUGAGUUCUGUAUUUAGGCAUUCAUGGACUUUCCUUACAAAGGGAAAUUCCGAUUCUUCUUUAAUUAUCAGCAAUGAGAUGGAGCAAAUACAUUGCACUCUGGGGUUACUUCUAGUCUCAACUGACGCAGAGAAUAUAUUCCACAAUAUGGUAAGCCUAAUGAAACAGUGAGGUGGAUAAAAGUAUGAGCAAACAGAUAAAGCAAUUACUUUGAUGGCAAUCUAUUGACUUUUGGGUCUCCAUACGAUAUGUAUUCUUUCAUCGGCGAUAAACAGAGGUUUCAAAACAUUUCACUGGCAUCCAAUAAGAACAUGAGUUUCAGUAGACCCACAGAAGAGUAAGCCUAACAUGAAGAUAAUGAAAGAUUGUUUGGUAGCCAAGAAAGAUUUGUCUUGCUACCAAAGCUGUAAGGAAUUGUUUUAAAACCAAGAUAGCUAACUUGACAGGCUCUUAUCACUCAUACUAGGCUAGGCUUCAAAUAAUUUGAUUAUUAUCCAAUUUCAUUUGAGCAUUAAUUUAGUUUGAGAAAAAGAGCCUUGCGUGAACAUAGAAGUUCUGUUUCAUAGCCGAGGAUGACUUGCCCGAUCCACGUUGAGUGAGUGGUAUCGGUCAUUUUCUUUUUGUGAUUACAAUAUUCAUUUGGUUCCGGGCAGUCACUUUGGCUAAGCUGUAAUACCCACGUCUUUUGUUUUUAUAUACUUGCAUGUAGUUUUAGGAAAUAAUUUUUAUCUCGUUUAUUUUUAUGUUAUUACUUAUUUAUUUUAUUUUUGAAAUUACAAUUGAUUUAAGGAAGUUUAAAAACCUCCUAUUAUCUAAUUUGUACUCAACUUUCCCCACUUCUGUAACCACCAUUAACUUCUCUUUAUAUGUAACUAAAAUCACUUUUUUUUUUUGGCUGUUUCACUGUCAUACUUCAAAUUCCCUUAAGAAGCUUAGGGCCUGUUUGGUACCGUUUUCAAACCUUUAUUUUCGUUUUUGUUUUAUAAAUACAAUUGAAAACACAUUUGGUGGGCUAAACUCAGAAAUAAAUUAUAAAACAAAAAAUUCGGAUUCAGUUUUCCAGUUGUAAAGUUGAGAACGUGUUUAAUGUGUUUUCAAAUGAAUUUACAGUUCACACUAAAGAACAAACUACAGAACAAAUCUCAAACAUCUCUGGCUCGUAUUCUCUUCAUCAACAGCUCCUAAAGUCCCCGAUCUAAACUCUCCGCACUCAUUAUCAAUCUCUUCUUCCUCUUUCUCUAGAUCUACAACACAUAUCUCUCUCUCUAACUCGAUCUGCCAGUCCGUUGCUGCUGCUGCUCGAUCUCGGCUGUUGCAGCUGCUGUCUUCACUUGGUCUUUGCUCCAGCUACUUCCAGUCAGUUGCUGCUGCUGCUGCGCUUCCAGUUCGUUGCUGUUGCUGCUAGAUCUUGGCUGUUGCAGCUGCUGUCUUCACUUGGUAUUUGCUCCAGCUACUUCUAGUCCAUUGUUGCUGCUGCUAGAUCUCGGCUGUUGCAGCUGCUUUCUUCACUUGCUCUUUGCUCCAGCUACGCGUGCUUUCUGCAAUCUGCUCUUCCACUCGCUUGCUGCAACCACGUACUGGUAUAUUUCUUUCUUUUUUUCUAUUUGGUUGAAUUUUGAGUGUAAUUCGAAUUUGUUUAGCUUGGACCCAUAUCAUGUUCAAUUCAGCAAAUUGGAUUCAACUGGGCAAAUUAGAUGUUGCUAUGUUCAAUUAGUUUUCUAGACAAAUUAAUUGGGUGUAGUUUUUUAUUAUCUUGUGUAUUGGUGUUUGCUCUGGUUUUAUUUUCUUUGGAUGUACCCAUCUUUGAUAACGGACAAUAUAUCCAAUAAUUGAAGCCUAGCACUUAUUAUCCAUGGGGCAAGUUACUCCGACUAGCUUACUGAGCCUUAUCUUUAUUUCAUAUUUGAAAUUGAAAUUCAUUUGGCAAUUGCCUAAUGCUGUGGGCCCAAGUGUAGCCCCACAGGAAGAUUCAAGAGGCCAACAAAGGGACUGAUCAGUCGAAAAUUGGGAGAAAAUUAGCUACAACUUCAUGGAAAAAUCAGAAAUUCUUUUAAGAUGUUAUUGAACUAUUUUGAGUUGUUGGAAUUUUUGCUUUACAGAACUUGAUAGGUAUAGAUAUUCAGAGACUUGUUUGUGAAAUACAAGAUUUUGUAUUGGAAGGUUGCACCCAACAUAUACAAUUGAACUUGGUGUAACUUUCUGGUGAAUUUUGGCAGCUUCCAAUCCUUCUGAGUUUGAAUUUCCUCUUGAAUAUAUCGAUCUGCAUUUUAUUGACAUUUGUUGCAAGCAAUUACUUUGAUUUUUUUUAUUCAUUUUAUGAAGUUGUGAUUAUUAGAAUUUGGGAUAGGGCUUGUAAUAAGGUUUGGACUGUCAAAUUUGGAAUAACAUUGCACAUUUGAAAGCUGUCUUUUUCUACACAAACAUGCAGACAUGCACAUACACACCAUAAUCUUUCGAGUAACAUUCAUUUUGUAAUCUAUGACAUGUUGCUGAAAUUACUUUCAUGUUAUGUUGAAUUUGAUUAAUAUUUGAUAUGUGUUAUUUUUUUAAAAAUUUUUCAAGAUAUGGAUCCACAUGAUGUUGAUGUUGAGGAUAAGGCCGAUUGGUACAAGAGAUGGAAUUAAAAAACAAGUGUCGCAGAGAUGAAUGCUACAAGAGAUGGAAUUGCAGCUUUUAUGUGGCAUGAUUACAUACGUAAUGCAUAAUGUGUAUCAUGUAGUUUUUUUAUAAUUAUUUUGUUUAAAUCAUGUGUUGUAAUAUAUAUCUUAAUUAUAUGGUGUAAAAACAAUGACAAUUUCAAACUUUUUUUAAUUAAUGUUAAUUCUUAAACUUUAUUAUCAUGUAAUUUUUUUAUAUUAAAUUUGGUUAAAUUAUUUUUGUUGUAUUUGUGUGUAUUAACUAAAUAAUUAUUUUAUGACUAUAAAUAUAAUGUAAAUGAUUAGUAAAAACUGUUCUCGAAAAAAGCAUUACCAAACGCAUAUUCUCUGUUUUUAUCAUUUUCAACUGUCUACCAAACGCAUAUUACUGUUUUCAGUUUUAAAAUAUAGGAUACAGAAAAUGAUACCAGACGCAUAUUUAAAUUCGAAAUACAGCAACUGCAAACACCAUUUUCAUUUUCGUUUUAUUCUCAGAAAAUAAAAAUUCAAAAACAAUACCAAACGGACCCUUAAGUCUUUUCUGUUUUCUUUGAUUUUGGUUAAUAAAUUCUUUUAAUAGUUUGAAUAUGAAAUAUAAAACUUUGAUCUUUAUUGAUGUUCGGGUAUCUAAGAAACUUCUGAUAUGGUCUGCUUAGUGACUUUAUUUCUUUCAUAAUUGAUGUAUUUAAGGUUUGAACUUUUUAACAUUUGUUAAUCACAAGUUAAACUAUGGUUAGUUUAAUUCUCGCGGAUUUUAGUAUUGAAUAAGAGACUUAAUUAGAACUUGAAUGAAGUUUGGAAGAAAAUCUAUUUUUAGAUGCUGUCGUUCUUGACCUUUAAGCAAUUGUACUUUUAUAACUUUGGAUAUAUAAAGGAUAAAUUCUGAAUUUUGGAUAUAGUUAAACACACAUAUGAAAAAUUAUCUUGCUUUAUUUAUAUUUAUAUGUAUGAUUUUAUUAGAUUUUGUCUCCAAGUGUACUUAUUUCACGUAUUAACUCUCUUGAGCCUUCCCAAACUCACCCGAGCUACCCUUGAUUUUUCUGAUGAUCUCUUUUGAGCUUCAACUAGCUUACCUAGGCUACUCUUAGCUACCUCGAUGUCACAGACCACUCGAAAUUUCCAACAAGAAAGGUUAAAUUGAACUAAGGUGUACUAGCUUGGUUUGAUUCUAGAAGCUUCCAUCACUAGCAUUCAGUGUACUCGUAAACACCAAGUCUUUUUGCUCAACUAGUUCGAGAAGUUUAAUAAGCUACUUAGCAACAAUUUUACAAAACUUGUCCAAAUACCGUAGAAUUUUCUGCACAAAACACUCAUCGCGUGACAUUGAACUCCCCCACAUGCUCUCUAAACUCUCAUGACACUCAUCUCCAACUACCUAAAUCCUCAAACCACCAAGGACCUCAAUUGUGCUUAGCUCCCCAAAGCGUUCAAAAAAAAUAGUGCUAAACCAAUCGAUGGCUUACCUCACCGUCUCUCCACUAAAGAAACAAACUGAGGGGCCAAAUAAGGAUUUUCUAAAGUUUUCAUUUGUCCACUUCCUCUUAUCAUUUUAACGGUAUUUCGAAAAAAAAUGAACUCUCCCGUUAUAGCAACGAUUCUCCGCCAACCUUUUCUUCCACAUCAACAAAACCCUAAUCAAAACCUCAAAAAGAGACCCCAAAUCUCUAUACAAACCAACAACAGCAAAUCUACCAUAGACACUACAGUCCAAUGGACCUCUUCUAUAUCUCGCCACUGCCGCAGCGGCUGCAUACUCUAAGCCGCUUUAGAGUUUACUCGCAUGAGACUCUACGGUACCAAUCCGAGUCACAUCACUUUCGUCACCCUUCUUUCGGGUUGCGCUGAUUUUCCAUCGUAAUGCUCGUUUUUCGGUGCUCUGAUUUAUGGGCUUGUUUGUAAACUUGGGUUGGAUAGAAAUAAUGUGAUGGUGGGCACGGCACUUCUGGACAUGUACGCCAAAUUUGGUCGAAUGGAUUUGGCUACGGUGGUUUUCGAUGUGAUGAGAGUUAAAAGUUCGUUUACUUGGAAUGAAUGAUUGAUGGGUACAUGAGGCAUGGGAAUAUUGAAUCUGCACUUAAAAUGCUUGAUGAAAUGCCUGUGAGGGAUGCGAUUUCUGGACUGCUUUGCUUAAUGGGUUUGUUAAGAGAGAUUAUUUUGAGGAAGCAUUGGAGUAUUUUCGAGUAAUGCAGAUUUCUGGGGUGGAGCCGGAUUAUUUAACCAUUAUUUCAGUUCUUAAUGUGUGUGCCAAUGUCAGGACUCUUGGUAUAGGCUUGCGGAUGCAUCGAUAUGUUCCAAAGCAAGACUUUAAAGACAAUGUCAGGGUAUGUAAUACGUUAAUGGAUGUGUAUUGUAGAUUCGGCUGCAUUGAAUUUGCUAGUCAAGUGUUUCAAAGGAUGCAUAAACGAACAUUAGUGUCUCGGAACUCGAUUAUCGUGGGUUUUGCAGUUAACGGGUUUGUGGGGGAAGCUUUGGAGUAUUUCAAUUUGAUGCAGAAAGGAGUGUUCAAAACAGAUGAAGUCAGUUUCACAGGAGCGCUAACCGCCUGUAGCCAUGCUGGUUUAAUUGAAGACAGGCUUCAAUAUUUUGACAUUAUGAAGAAAAUUUAUAGUCUCUCCUCAGAUUGAGCAUCAUGGUUGCAUUGUGGAUCUUUAAAGCCGUGCAGAGAGAUUGGAGGAUGCAUUAAAUGUCGUAGAAUAUCUGCCUAUGGAACCAAAUGAAGUUGUGUUGGGUUGAUUGCUGGCAGCAUGUAGGACUGAGGGUGAUGUUGUCUUAGCAGAAAGAUUAAUGAAGUAUCUAGUAGACUUGGAGUCAGAUCACAUCUAUUCAAUGUUAGAGCUUCUUUCUUUUGAUUUGAAAUUAUGUGGUUAUGUUCCUGAAAACAGUUGCUGGAGAAUUAUAUGAAAAUGAUUUGAGUUUUUGUUGUCAAGUAUAA